ACGGGUGAGUAACACGUAGGUAACCUGCCUAUGAGACUGGGAUAACUAUCGGAAACGAUAGCUAAGACCGGAUAACUGGUUUUCUCGCAUGAGAGAACCAUGAAACACGGAGCAAUCUGUGGCUUAUAGAUGGGCCUGCGGCGCAUUAGCUAGUUGGUAGGGUAACGGCCUACCAAGGCGACGAUGCGUAGCCGACCUGAGAGGGUGAACGGCCACACUGGGACUGAGACACGGCCCAGACUCCUACGGGAGGCAGCAGUAGGGAAUCUUCCGCAAUGGACGCAAGUCUGACGGAGCAACGCCGCGUGAGUGAUGAAGGUUUUCGGAUCGUAAAGCUCUGUUGCCCUAGACGAACAGCAAGGAGAGUAACUGCUCUUUGUGUGACGGUAUAGGAGAAGAAAGCCCCGGCUAACUACGUGCCAGCAGCCGCGGUAAUACGUAGGGGGCAAGCGUUGUCCGGAAUUAUUGGGCGUAAAGCGCGCGCAGGCGGUUAAUUAAGUUGGGUGUUUAAGCCCGGGGCUCAACCCCGGUUCGCAUCCAAAACUGGUUGACUUGAGUGUAGGAGAGGAAAGUGGAAUUCCACGUGUAGCG
rnacentral:rRNA from 1 species